rnacentral:rRNA from 1 species
AUUGAACGCUGGCGGCAGGCCUAACACAUGCAAGUCGAACGAGUGGCGGACGGGUGAGUAAUGUCUGGGAAACUGCCUUAUGGAGGGGGAUAACUACUGGAAACGGUAGCUAAUACCGCAUACCAUCAGAUGUGCCCAGAUGGGAUUAGCUAGUUGGUGGGGUAACGGCUCACCAAGGCGACGAUCCCUAGCUGGUCUGAGAGGAUGACCAGCCAAACUGGAACGGAGACACGGGCCAGACUCCUACGGGAGGCAGCAGUGGGGAAUAUUGCACAAUGGGCGCAAGCCUGAGGCAGCCAGGCCGCGUGGAUGAAGAAGGCCUUCGGGUUGUAAAGUACUUUCAGCGGGGAGGCGUUACCCGCAGAAGAAGCACCGGCUAACUCCGUGCCAGCAGCCGCGGUAAUUC